CUUCCGCGGCGCCGAUGCGGGGCGGCUCUUCCAGGGCGAGAGGAAGCCCGCCGUGGGCUUGACCGGCAGGCACGUUUCUCGGGAGGAGGAGGACGAAAGGCCGCCGGCCCCAGCCCGACGUUUUGCCGGUCAGGGUAACAGGUCACACUUCGAGCAGUUCGGAGGUUUCCAAUCGGUGCAAGCGCUGAGACAGGGGUGCUCGGAACAAAGAGCAAUCUUGCCCUCACGCGCACUGUGAGUGGUCUUCGUCCAAGCCAGGCUGUGUCCACAAGCUUCCAGCUGACAUUUGGAAGAAAGAUACGCUCCUUCUGAGCUGAUUUUGGAGAGUUCUACAAAUACGCCUCAUGGCCCCGUUCUCGGACCUCUGACCCCACUCCCACGUGAGGGCCAGGACGGAUCAGCGCAGCCCUGUGUGUGGUUCAUGUCUUCCAAGGUUCACAUCAGCUCCUCCAAGAGCUUCAUACCUCCGUGACGACGAAUGUCACUUGGACAUAAAGGGGGUGAGUGUAUGAUGCUUGGCCGCCAUUCCCGUAUUCCCGAAACGUGCUGUUUCAUGGACUGUCUGGUGCGUUUCGACAAGAAUGAUCUGGGAGAGGACUAUGCACCUGAUGUUCCUGCUGUCUCUGGAGAAGCCUGGGGGGGAGGAGGUGGGGUCGGGGGAGGCCCUCGAAUCUACAGUGGGAGCAAAUGGUAAGGCUGUCAGGUAACCGUGCAAAUAUCAGAACAAAUCUUAAUGCGACCUGUAAGCGUAAGGACAGAGAUGAGAAGGAGCCGAGGGCAGUUCCGCCUGGCGCGGCUGCCGGGGUCACGUCCUUCUCCCCAGUAAUGACUACAUUCCAAGUCCCUUGUGGUGAAAACGAAAAUACGACCACAUUCUGGGUGUCUGCUUGGCUUGGAUAAGCUAGACCCAGAUUCAGGAAAAGAAGUCUGUAGAACAUGGAGUCGUUAGUUACAAAAGGAGCAGAGAAAGAUAAAAGUCAGGAGGAAUCUGAUGAAAACCCGUUGAAGUUCAUCAUGGAAAGUGCCAGAUCAGGGCAAAUCUCUAUACCAGUGAUUCCCAAACUUUAGCAUCGGAAUCUCCUGGGGUUUGAGCUGCCAGAGGAAAGGCAGAAGCCCAAUGAAAUCUGUAUUUCAGAGAAACAAUGAAUCAAUUUUAGUAUAAGUAUGUCCCAUGAAAAAAUCGGGUUUCUCUAAAAUUCAAAUUUAACUGUGUGCCUUUAUUUUAUUCACCGUGCCUGGCAGCCUUACCUAGUUCAGACACUGGUUUCUGGGCUACACACUCGGAGGUCGUGGCUCAGCAGAUCCGGGUGGGGCCCAGGAAUCUGCAUUUCCAACCCUCUCGCUGGGGAUGCUGACCCUGCUGGUCUGAGGAUACACUUGGAGAAUCACAGCCCCCAAAGCCCUCCCCGUGUGAGGACGGCUGUGCAUGUCUCUGGCCACCAGCUACAGGAGGGACGCUCUGGGGACAUGGGCUGUGCAUCCUCUGGUGCGUCAUCUCCCACCUCCCCGGGAAGUGUGCGGCCCUCCGUGUUCAGGCAGGAGCGCUGGGCGCUCCCGUGAACCAAGAGGCA